AAUCCUGGCUCAGGAUGAACGCUAGCUACAGGCUUAACACAUGCAAGUCGAGGGGCAUCAGUUUGGUUUGCUUGCAAACCAAAGCUGGCGACCGGCGCACGGGUGAGUAACACGUAUCCAACCUGCCUCAUACUCGGGGAUAGCCUUUCGAAAGAAAGAUUAAUAUCCGAUAGCAUAUAUUUCCCGCAUGGGUUUUAUAUUAAAGAAAUUCGGUAUGAGAUGGGGAUGCGUUCCAUUAGUUUGUUGGGGGGGUAACGG
rnacentral:rRNA from 1 species